rnacentral:rRNA from 1 species
AUUGAACGCUGGCGGCAGGCCUAACACAUGCAAGUCGAGCGGAUGAAGGGAGCUUGCUCCUGGAUUCAGCGGCGGACGGGUGAGUAAUGCCUAGGAAUCUGCCUGGUAGUGGGGGAUAACGUCCGGAAAAGGGCGCUAAUACCGCAUACGUCCUGAGGGAGCAAGUGGGGGAUCUUCGGACCUCACGCUAUCAGAUGAGCCUAGGUCGGAUUAGCUAGUUGGUGGGGUAAAGGUCUACCAAGGCGACGAUCCGUAACUGGUCUGAGAGGAUGAUCAGUCACACUGGAGCUGAGACACGGUCCAGGGUCCUGCGGGAGGCAGCAGUGGGGAAUAUUGGACAAUGGGCGAAAGCCUGAUCCAGCCAUGCCGCGUGUGUGAAGAAGGUCUUCGGAUUGUAAAGCACUUUAUGUUGGGAGGAAGGGCAGUAAGUUAAUACCUUGCUGUUUUGACGUUACCAACAGAAUAAGCACCGGCUAACUUCGUG